rnacentral:sRNA from 1 species
AAGAAAGACCGAGACCAGUUUCCAGUGAGCUCCUGAGGUCACCCUAGAGAAUCCUUUACUUACCUAUGCUGAAAAAAAUGCUCCCAUCAGUUACCCUAUGAUGAGGUCUCCAGCCCUUUCAUCAGAAGACAGAGCUUUAAAAUGCAGGUGGGUAACAGUGACCUGAAGACAUACUAACAGGGGCUGGUGAGGGUCAGCACUAGUGGUGAGAAUUCUGGAGAACAUUUUCUUUACUCAGAAACUUAAAAUCAUGGACUCUUGGGGAGAAAGGAAUGAGAAAAGGCAGCAUGCGGAAUUACCAGUUUGUUAUUUGGUUCCUAUCUGGAUUUAAAACCGAAGAUCCCAAACUCAGAUUGAUCUGGAGCCAGAAGGAAGAGUGUAUGUGAUCAUCGAUCUCUCAGGGUCGUCAGGUGAAGAGUGACUUGCCCAUGGCCAGAGGCUACAAGAGGCUCCAGCAAACCCUGCCAGAGAGGAGUGACUCACUGAAUCCACAGACCACGUCUAAUGGCAGGGAACUCCACAAAGAAUGCUCUCCGUUCAUUUAUUGCUUGAUAGACACCUCUAAUGUAUAAAGGGCUAUGUUGAAAUUUGGGAUUCCCUCGGGCUAUGCCUGUCACCGAGGAUUGAGUGCUCCUGCCAUGGAGAGGCAGGUGGGCCAGGUGGCCUGGGCUCCCGCAAAAUGGGUGAGGCAAGAUCCCCUCAGAGCAGUAACUCCAGGAACCACUUGCCUCCACCUGCCAGCCCUGCCUGCACCU